CUUAUGUCCCUCACCUCAGGCUGGGCUGUUGGGGCAAAAAAAACCCUAUAAAAGUCACUGUAGACUCACUCAGCUGUUAUUGUGUCUGAAGCUACAGUUCAACAGGGCUCAUCUGGGAUACAAAACUGCACAAUAACUCAACACGAGAGUCAAGUACAAACAGAUCUGCAAACGUCUAACCAGGAUGAAGCUUUCUGUUCUCCUACCGUUCCUCUCAGCUCUGGCUCUCAGCUCUGGAUCACGCUGUACGGGAAGCAGUAACAACAAUGGCUACAUCAACUUCAAAACGAAGCACAUUCUGAAAGAGACAUUCAAUUUGAAAUCAGACGAAGCGUGGAAAUCAUACCUAGAACGUACAAAAUUCAGAAAUGAAAUGCUCUGUGGAAGAAACACCCCAAACAACUUACAAACUUUCUUUGAGAAAGAUAGCACACCUGACAUUGAAAAAAUCUGUAAUGGUGCAGGCUUUGAAUUAGAAGGCGGUGAAGGCGACCUGUGCACCAGUAAUCGCAAGAUCACUGUUCAUAUGGUCAAAAGCACCACAGAGAACGGUGUGUGCAAAGUAGAGCGUAUUACGUCUGAUCAAAUGUAUGUGAUUGUUGGCUGUGGAAAUGUUGACAACAGAUGUCUGCCUGUACACUUUCAUGGUCAGAAAGAAAACAAACCAAAGAAAACUACUCAACUCUGUAAACCAUAGCUCAGCUCCCUGGUUCCAGCCUCACACUCCAGACGUUCUCUGUAUUACUGAAAUAGGAACAACACCCUCAUUCUGCUUGAGUGUUGGGUUUAGAUUUUUUUGUCUUCAAUUCUGUCAAACUUGUUUGUUUUGGCUUUCUAAUUUUGUGUGUACUCUUCAUGCACGUGCUGUUUUACAAUAUCAAUGCUGCAGUGUUCA